GACCUUCACUAUAGACCUAUUCCUGUGAACACUUGCGCAUUUGUUAUGUAAGAACGACUUUAAUGAAUUUGUUUUAGUUAUACAUGCCAGCAGUAUAAGUCGACUUUAGUUAUACAUGCCAGCAGGAAAGCAACUUGUUUGCUGUUGUUGGGCUUAGGCAGUUAAAUAUCGUCCAGAUGGAGCUAUGGAAAGAGAGGUUAAAGGAAAGGUCACAAAAAGGUGUACACAAACUUUUGGUACUGAUUACU
rnacentral:lncRNA from 1 species